CAUUUAUUGUAAAACAAGGUGAGGGAUCUUAGGAGAGAAUAGGACCUUGACUAGGUAUUGCACAUGGUUCCAGUCGCACGGUCCCUAUUGUAGUUGGAGGAACUCGUUUUUCAACACAUUGUCUUCUUUUGUAAUCGUACUCUUCAUUUUUUAAUUACGUUGCUUUUUUGGAUAAUGUUGAGCAGUGUGUUUAGCUUCUC
rnacentral:lncRNA from 1 species